AAACGACUCUCGGCAACGGAUAUCUCGGCUCACGCAUCGAUGAAGAACGUAGCAAAAUGCGAUACUUGGUGUGAAUUGCAGAAUCCCGUGAACCAUCGAGUUUUUGAACGCAAGUUGCGCCCAAAGCCAUCCGGCUGAGGGCACGUCUGCCUGGGCGUCAC
rnacentral:rRNA from 6 species